CCCUUUCCCUGCUGGCCACUCCUCUGUUAAUGCAGCCCAGGAUGCAGAUAGCCUUCCAGGCUGCAAGCAUCAUGUCCAGCCUCUUAUCCACAAGGACCCCCAAGUUCUGGUGUUGUUGUAGAGCAAAGGACUGUGAUGUGUUCUUCAGCUUAACUGCACUGGACUGAACAAUUUCAGGAGUACUCUGUAGUGCCAGAAGCUGCAAUCAUAGACUUCCUCUCUAAGAAAUUUUGGCCAUCCCACAGCUGCCAAAGAGUCACAGAAACUGUGUAAUUAUUUUAGUGUUGGAUUGAGCUAAUGUUCUUUGCAUCUCAAUAGGUGUCUUAACUUGGAGACAAGCUGGAAUUCCUGUCUGCCAGCCUGCACUGUCUCAUGAAAUGUAGAAGGAAUGAUGAAUUGUUGUCACUUGUUUUGCUGCUGCACAUUGAGAAGCCUACCCAAUCAUUCUUCAGGGUUGUUCCAAGCACACGUAUGAACUUCUGGCUGAAGAGAGAAUUGGAUCCAACUCUUCAUUUUCAAGCUGAGCUCUCUGCCCUGUAGGCUGUUCGGAAAAUACCACAUGCUUUUACACUUUGAAAGGGAGUGUCCUCAACAUCUUCCUUUGAUGGAAAAAUAUGUGCAACAUGCAAUAAUCAUACCCAGAGAAAUGGACCUCCUAUUCAUUCCUCCACCUAGUUCUUGACAGCAGAAGUGUUUGUGCAGGCUAUAUGCACUUCACACUAUAUUCUGUAUGCAUGAACUCUUAAGUGUUCCAGGAAUGUGAAUGAACAGGUGCCAAAUGAAUUCAGAUUCCCAUAUUAAUGGGUAGCUGGAUGGGACUACAGAGGGAGAAUUUAUUUCUGCUUCAGAACCGUUUUAGUGACUGUAUGGCUUACUGCAUCAUCCCAGAUAGAUUAAGCUUAUAAACAGAAACAUUUGCUGUGUGGGACACGGGAUAUUUUCGUGGUUUGGUUUUUUUUUUUUUGUUUGUUUGUUUUGUUUUUUUUUAAUGAAAAACUCUCUGCUACCAUCUUGCGGUAAACUAUGGGAAGUGACAUCAAGGACAGACGUUUCUCUUAAGUGAGAGUCAUGGGUUGAAACUUCAUACCAUACUGGGAAUGUUGGACUAAUAAAAUAUUGAGAGUAUAAUGUAACA
rnacentral:lncRNA from 1 species